rnacentral:rRNA from 1 species
UACGAAGGGGGCUAGCGUUGUUCGGAAUCACUGGGCGUAAAGGGUGCGUAGGCGGGUCUUUAAGUCAGGGGUGGAAUCCUGGAGCUCAACUCCAGAACUGCCUUUGAUACUGAGGAUCUUGAGUUCGGGAGAGGUGAGUGGAACUGCGAGUGUAGAGGUGAAAUUCGUAGAUAUUCGCAAGAACACCAGUGGCGAAGGCGGCUCACUGGCCCGAUACUGACGCUGAGGCACGAAAGCGUGGGGAGCAAACAGG